rnacentral:rRNA from 1 species
CAAUAGCGUAUAUUAAAGUUGUUGCAGUUAAAAAGCUCGUAGUUGGAUUUCUGGUUGAAGCGACCGGUCGGGCGUUGAUUUGUCUGCACUGGAGUCGGUUUUGGCCAUCCUCUAGGAAAGUGCGUCUGGUAUUAAGUUAUCGGGCGUAUGAUCCUGGUCUUUUACUGUGAAAAAAUUAGAGUGUUUAAAGCAGGCCUUCGCCUUGAAUACAUUAGCAUGGAAUAAUAAGAUAGGACUUUGGUCUAUUUUGUUGGUUUGCAGACCGAAGUAAUGAUUAAUAGGGAUAGUUGGGGGUAUUUAUAUUCCGAUGUCAGAGGUGAAAUUCUUAGAUUUUCGGAAGAUAAACUUAUGCGAAAGCAUUUACCAAGGAUGUUUUCAUUAA